rnacentral:rRNA from 1 species
AACACGUGGAUAAUCUACCCUAAGGUGGAGGAUAACCUCGGGAAACUGAGAAUAAUACUCCAUAAGUCUAGGAUACUGGAAUGUACUUAGGCUGAAAACUUCGGUGCCUUAGGAUGAGUCUGCGGACUAUCAGGUUGUAGUCAGGGUAAAGACCUGACUAGCCUACAACGGAUACGGGUUGUGAGAGCAAUAACCCGGAGAUGAUAUCUGAGACACGAUAUCAGGCCCUACGGGGCGCAGCAGGCGCGAAAACUUCACACUGCACGAAAGCGCGAUGAGGGAAUCCCAAGUGCUUGCACGUAAGUGUAAGCUGUUUCUAUGUCUAAAACGCAUAGAGAGUAAGAGCUGGGUAAGACGGGUGCCAGCCGCCGCGGUAAUACCUGCAGCUCAAGUGGUGGCCGUUAUUAUUGGGCCUAAAACGUCCGUAGCCGGUUUAUUAAAUGCCUGGGUAAAUCGGGCCGCUUAACGGUUCGAAUUCCGGGUAGACUGAUAGACUUGGGACCGGGAGAAGCUAGAGGUACUCCUGGGGUAGAGGUGAAAUUCUGUAAUCCUAGGGGG